UACGUAGGGUGCGAGCGUUGUCCGGAAUUAUUGGGCGUAAAGAGCUUGUAGGUGGUUUGUCGCGUCUGCUGUGAAAAUCCGAGGCUCAACCUCGGACUUGCAGUGGGUACGGGCAGGCUAGAGUUCGGUAGGGGAGACUGGAAUUCCUGGUGUAGCGGUGAAAUGCGCAGAUAUCAGGAGGAACACCAAUUGCGAAGGCAGCUCGCUGGGACGUUACUGACGCUGAGACGCGAAAGCGUGGGGAGCAAACAGG
rnacentral:rRNA from 1 species